rfam:Bosea sp. Root483D1 contig_1, whole genome shotgun sequence.
GCGGGGCUGCCUGGUGCGUGCGAGUUAUGUAUUCCCGGGCCCAUACGACUCCCUAGGGAGCUGUCCCUGACCGGGUCCCUGGACCCGGACACACGGCGCCCACCUACUUUGUAGGUGUCCCGGGAUCGAAAUCUCCACGGCCAAGGUGGCUCCGCA